rnacentral:rRNA from 1 species
UACGUAGGUGGCAAGCGUUGUCCGGAUUUACUGGGCGUAAAGAGCGCGCAGGCGGUCGUUCAAGUCGCGUGUGAAAGCCCCCGGCUCAACUGGGGAGGGUCACGCGAUACUGAUCGACUCGAAGGCAGGAGAGGGUAGUGGAAUUCCCGGUGUAGCGGUGAAAUGCGUAGAUAUCUGGAGGAACACCGGUGGCGAAGGCGGCAUCCUGGACCAAUACUGACGCUGAGGAGCGAAAGCCAGGGGAGCAAACGGG